CAGUCGCCGCGGUAAUACGAAGGGGGCUAGCGUUGCUCGGAAUGACUGGGCGUAAAGGGCGCGUAGGCGGUUUCUUAAGUCUGAUGUGAAAGCCCCCGGCUCAACCGGGGAGGGUCAUUGGAAACUGGGAAACUUGAGUGCAGAAGAGGAGAGUGGAAUUCCACGUGUAGCGGUGAAAUGCGUAGAGAUGUGGAGGAACACAAGUGGCGAAGGCAGCCCCCUGGGAUAACACUGACGCUCAUGCACGAAAGCGUGGGGAGCAAGCAGGAUUAGAUACCCGUGUAGUCCCUGUCUCUUAUAA
rnacentral:rRNA from 1 species